GACGAACGCUGGCGGCGUGCUUAACACAUGCAAGUCGAGCGGAGCGGCGAACGGGUGCGUAACGCGUGAGUAACUUCCCCCCUCUCUGGGGUAACAGUUAGAAACGGCUGCUAAUACCGGAUAGUGGGGGAUGACUCGCGUCCUAUCGGCUUGUUGGGGGGGUAGUGGCCUACCAAGGCGACGACGGGUAGCCGGCCUGAGAGGGGGACCGGCAACAGUGGGCUGAGAUACGGGCCAAACUCCUACGUGAGGCAGCAGUGGGGAAGGUUGCACAACUGGGGAAACUCUGAUGCAGCAACGCGCGUGCGUGAUGACUGCCUUCGGGUUGUAAACCGCUUUAAGCCAUGACGCGGUAGUGGCAGAAGAAGCACCGGCUAACUACGUGCCAGCAGCCGCGGUAAUUC
rnacentral:rRNA from 1 species